rnacentral:rRNA from 1 species
UCUGGUUGACCCUGCCAGUAGCAUAUGCUUGUCUCUGAGACUAAGCCAUGCAUGUCUAAGUAUAAAUUAAUUUUUACGGUGAAACUGCGGACGGCUCAUUAAAUCAGUUAUAACCUACUUGAUCGUGUGACUUUAUUCGGAUAACCCUAGUAAUUCUAGAGCUAAUACGUGCUAAAAGCCUUAACUUCCAGCAAUGGGGGAAGAGGUGUAUUUAUUAGAAACUAAAACCAAUCAGCUUCGGCUGUUUGAGAUGAUUCAUAAUAACUCGGCAAAUUACGGGAAAAUUCCUGUGAUGAUUCAAACGGAUUUCUGACCUAUCAACUUUAGAUGGCAAAGUAGGGGUUUGCCAUGGUGACAACGGGUGACGGGGAAUUAGGGUUCGAUUCCGGAGAGGGAGCCUGAGAAACGGCUACCACUUCCGAGGAAGGCAGCAGGCGCGCAAAUUACCCAAUGCUAAUUCGGCGAGGUAGUGACAAGAAAUACCAAUGUAGGACCCAACGGGUACUACGUUUGGAAUGAGAACAAUUUAAAAACCUUAACGAGGAACAAUUGGAGGGCAAGUCUGGUGCCAGCAGCCGCGGUAAUUCCAGCUCCAAUAGUGUAUAUUAAAGUUGCUGCGGUUAAAAAGCUCGUAGUUGGAUUACGAAGUGGUGUUUAAAUGUCAUUUUGGUUUGUUUGUCUUUCGGGGCAUUUAGGUCAACUUGGCUUUUACUCACUGUUGUCAUUGUCUUUGCCCAAGGUAUAUGCCUUGUGUGCAUGGCAUUGACCUUCUAUUUUAUGGUAAUGUUGUAUCUUUCGGGGUACAUUCAUUCCAUAUAGUUUACUUUGAAAAAAUUAGGGUGUUUAAAGCAGGCGAAAAGGCUUCGGAAUAUAUUAGCAUGGGAUAAUAGAAUACGAUCUAGGUCGUAAUUUGUUGGUUUCUACGGCUUAGGUAAUGAUUGACAGGGAUAGUUGGGGUCGCUCGUAUUGAGUUGUCAGAGGUGAAAUUCUAGGAUUAACUCAAGACGAACUAAUGCGAAAGCAUUCGGCAAGGAUGUUUUCAUUAAUCAAGAACGAAAGUUGGGGGAUCGAAGAUGAUCAGAUACCGUCGUAGUCUCAACUGUAAACUAUGUCGACCGAGGAUCCGGUAGCGUUACAUGGAUGACCUUCCGGGCACUCUGUGAGAAAUCAUAAGUAUUUGGAUUUCGGGGGGAGUAUGGUCGCAAGGCUGAAACUUAAAGGGAUUGACGGAAGGGCACCACCAGGAGUGGAAUCUGCGGCUUAAUUUGACCCAACACGGGAAAACUUACCAGGUCCGGACACAGUGAGGAUUGACAGAUUGAGAGCUCUUUCUUGAUUUUGUGGGUGGUGGUGCAUGGCCGUCUUUAGUUGGUGGAGUGAUUUGUCUGGUUAAUUCCGUUAACGAACGAGACCUUAACCUAUUAAAUAGCUGCGCGAACCCAGGUUCUUUAACCAUUCUCUCCUUCGGGGGGGGCGUGGUAUCAUUAUUU